rnacentral:rRNA from 1 species
AACGAACGCUGGCGGCAGGCCUAACACAUGCAAGUCGAGCGAGACCUUCGGGUCUAGCGGCGGACGGGUGAGUAACGCGUGGGAACGUGCCCUUUUCUACGGAAUAGCCUCGGGAAACUGAGCGUAAUACCGUAUACGCCCUUUGGGGGAAAGAUUUAUCGGAGAAGGAUCGGCCCGCGUUGGAUUAGGUAGUUGGUGGGGUAAUGGCCUACCAAGCCUACGAUCCAUAGCUGGUUUGAGAGGAUGAUCAGCCACACUGGGACUGAGACACGGCCCAGACUCCUACGGGAGGCAGCAGUGGGGAAUCUUAGACAAUGGGGGCAACCCUGAUCUAGCCAUGCCGCGUGAGUGAUGAAGGCCUUAGGGUUGUAAAGCUCUUUCAGCUGGGAAGAUAAUGACGGUACCAGUAGAAGAAGCCCCGGCUAACUCCGUG